GUCGUUUCCGGAGGUUCUGGACAGCACGCAGUGGUGAUCUCUUUUAUGGGGUGGGAGGCUCGUAAAGAACCGAGAGCCCCACUUAAGAGCUGAGAAGCUUGGCCAGCUCCCCACGCAGAGAGCUGGGGGUGGGGGUGGAGGAGUCCCAGAGGGGGUCUCCAGAAAUCAGCCAGGCUCUCCUGCCCCUCCCUGAGUAAACCAGCAUGGGGUUGGGACCCUAGAAACCCCUGAGAACCCACCAAGCCCCCACCCAUCCUCCCUGCGCUGCACCACCGGAUACCCCUGCUUCCCACUGGGCGUCCUGCUCCAGAGCAGGAGCUCAACUGAUGCUUGUAGGGAAAGGGAACAGACGAGAGAGGUGGGGUGCACUCCUCUCCUGGUUCCCCAAGAGGGGCUGGGGAUCACAGAUUUCUUGGGAGGGCUCCGGGAAGGGGAGGGAAAGCAGGGGAGGGAGGAGAUAACUGAGAGUUUAACACUUUAAUUCCACGAAGAUAUAUGGGCUGCUUAAAAAAGAAUUGUAGGCAUGCAUAGAUGUAUUUUGGCCAGUUCUGGGUUCUGGGGUCAGGCUGAGCAGGGGGUGGAGAGAGGUCUAAGAACGGGGGUCCCCACCGCUGGCUCUGGCACCCAGGGAGCGUCAGCUGGGGCCUCAGUUUCCCUUCUGUAAAGGGACAGGGGCCAGCCCCCAGUCCUGCACCCCGGCUGCCCUCCAGCCCCCAGCCCCUGCAGCGCCCUUGGCCGUGGAAGCUUCCUGACGCACUCCCGCCUUCCUGUUGCCGCUCCCGACCUUAUCGAGGCUCUGCCGCCCUGGCUGGCCCGGCCGUGGCCCUUGCUGACUCAUCCAGCCGCCUCUGAAGAUGAAUGGCCUGGCUUGGGAAGAACAGAAUGUGAUCUCCGCCUGGGGUUCUGUGCUGGCCAUGGCCUCGUCGGCUUUUCCAAGGCAUGAGUGGUGAAUGAGAGCUUGGGAACUGCCGGAACCACGGGACUUGCCGGGGCUGGGGAGGCGGGCCCCUUUCCAAGGGAACUGAACACGGCCUUUGGGAACUCUUCUUAAAAUUCUCUGGGGACACUGAAAGCAUGGAAGGCCCCACAGAGGUCAUAGCUGGUCACCCACACGCAUUGAGCACCGACAGCAUGCAGGACCCGUCCAUGAAAGGGAUGGGGGUGGAGAACAGACAGACCCCAACGUCACCAACCUCCUUUGUGGUUCUCUGAGCCUCUAUUUACCACCCUGCAAAGGGUUGGCUGGGAACAGGGAACCCUGUUCACACCUUUGGCUUGUACAGUACGAGCAAAUCCUGCAUUGGCACACAUGUAUUUAUACAUAUGCAUGUAAAUUCUCAACCAGCUUCGUGCGCUCCGACGCGGC